UUUAAUAAUUGAUUAAUCUUAUCAAUCUUCGUUAUCUUAUCAGACUUGUUUCUUAUUUAAAAAAUGACGAGAUCUUCCUUUGAUCAUUAUCAAAACGAGUUUAUUAUCAAAAUAUCCAAUAAUUUGAUAUUACUCGUACUCAUAUGACAUUUCUUAUUUGAAACUCGAACUUAGAAGAAGAAGAAGAAAUGGCUGACGAUAAAUCUGUGGAGAAUAAUAAUCAUCGUCAUAGUAUUGUCGAUGAUCAUUAUCGAAAUGUCAAAUCAACGAGACAAAUCAUUUUCGGCUGGGACAGUUUUAAUUUGAUAUCAUUCCUUAUACUAAUCGUAUUUUUCAUCAUUUGGUGUUUGGCAUAUUUCUUAAAUUAUGUACCGGGUAAAAAACAAAACGCUCACAUGGGUGGUACAGGUGAUGGUGGACAUGUUGGACAUAUUGGACAUAUGAACUAUGAAUAUUAAAGGUGAAAAAUGAGAGAGACAAGAAUAAUGACGAAACUUGACGAAGACUAAAAUAAGAUAAUCCAUUUCGUGAACCCCUAUAAUAUAAUAAUACUUAACACGUUCACGCCGGCGCGUACCACCGGUGGCCCGCACUAGACUGUCUCUUCGGACGGCUUGUACCACCGGUGGCUCGCGCUAGACUGUCCCAUCGGGCGGCGCGUACCACCGGUGGUCCACAUUGGUCUAGGUUUGAACAAGCAAAAAUCACGCGCCGCCAGAUGAAACGCAUCUUAGAUUCGAGUGCCGCCCCACAGCGCAGACACUGAAAAUCAGCGCCGGCGUCAACGUGUUAA